GCGGAUGGCAGCCUUAGCCCAGGCCCUCCAGGCCUCUAGCCCAGGCUGGCGGGUGAGCUGGAGGCGCCCCGGAAGAGACCGAGGGCUGUGUCUCUAGAGCUCCAGGGCCCUCUCCACGGCCACCCCUGACCAGGCCCAAGCCUUGAAGCAGCAGCAAACCUCUCUCCGGGCCCGCCUACAUGACCCACGGAGGGCCCAGCACCUGGAAGGUAUACGGACGCGGCCAUUAAGAUGGAACUAAAAUGAAGAACACCGAGUAUUUUCCUGGGCUUCCUGUGUGUCCUGUUCUCCCUGUUGUCAGUUUUAAUUCACGAUCUAUUCAUUCAACCAUGCUGUCAGCUGGAAGGAAAAAGUCCCACAGGGCACAUCACAGAAAUAUCUUUCCACCCAGGAUUCACAUAGCUUUGUCAUCAUAUCUGAUCUCUGCUGCCGCAGAUAACCAGCCAACAGAACUGGACAUGCAGACUUGGGAAGGCUUUCAAUUGAAUUUUUGAGAAAAAGGUUACUAUACAGAUUGGUCAGCUCCUUUUGUGCCACUGCCACUAUUCUCUUGGUCCAGUAUUCCUUCCCUCAGGCCUCUCUGUGCCUUUAUAAAGAUCAGCAAUUAUUUUCAGCUCCAAGCAGGAUGCUGCCACGCAGGGGCUCCCCAGAGGCAAUAAGUCUGGGAGAGAAGGUGGCUGAUUUACAGAUCAACAGCUACCUGGUAGAGACUGUGGGAUACCUUGCUGUCAACACCAAAGGAUUGAAGAGCAUAGCUUUGUGAGCCAUUAAAAAAAAAUCUGUAAGAAAAAAAAAAA